AGAAGAGCAACAAGUCUUACCAGAGAAUUAUGAUGAUGUAAUCACUGUGGGAUUGAGACAUCAUGCAACAGAUGACUUAUCAAGAAACUAUGAUGAUGUUGUCAUUGUAAAACAGUUGUCCAAUGAUAAAACAGACUAUGAUGAUGUGGAGGAGGAUCCAGGGAAACAGAGAGGAACUGUGUAACUCAAAACACACCUGCUGGCUUAAAACCUUUUAAAUGGUCUACAGAGUUUAAGUGGCUCCAUAUACUGUAUGUUUUAGCUGCAAACCACCAAUGUCUUGUUACAUUUUAUAUUGAAAUCUCUU